GGGGCGCAGGGAUAGCGGGCAAGGUCGGAGGGGUGGAGCGGGGCUGGGCGCUCCGGGACAGAGGUGCAGACCUCCGGGAGGGCGUCCCCAGGCUGGGGGUCGACCCGAGUUCUCCGUGCUCACUCUCCGGGGUCCCCAGCCGCUCGGCGCCGCGCGCUCAGUCUUCUUCAGGUGUUCAACAUUAUUUCAGAUCACCCAUGUACCAUCUAAAGCCCCAGUCCUAGGUCGUCAUCAUCACCUUCACCAGCGGAGUGCCUCCUGUGUCAAUGUCCACAGCAACCCCUGAGGUCUCUGCUUUUUCCUCCUGACCUCACCAAACAACCAUGUCAUCAGAAUCAAGCAAAAAACGAAAGCCCAAAGUGAUCCGAAGUGAUGGAGCUCCAGCUGAAGGGAAGCGUAACCGUUCUGACACAGAGCAGGAAGGUAAAUACUACAGCGAGGAGGCUGAAGUGGACCUGCGGGACCCUGGCAGAGACUAUGAACUGUAUAAGUACACAUGCCAGGAGCUACAGAGGCUCAUGGCUGAGAUCCAGGACCUGAAGAGCAGAGGAGGCAAGGAUGUGGCAGUUGAGAUAGAAGAUCGGAGGAUCCAGAGCUGUGUGCAUUUCAUGACUCUAAAGAAGCUUAAUCGAUUAGCCCACAUCAGGUUGAAGAAAGGAAGAGAUCAGACCCAUGAGGCCAAGCAGAAAGUAGACGCCUAUCACCUGCAGCUGCAGAACCUGUUGUAUGAGGUGAUGCACCUGCAGAAAGAGAUCACCAAAUGUCUGGAGUUUAAGUCAAAGCAUGAAGAAAUUGAUUUGGUCAGUUUAGAGGAAUUUUAUAAGGAGGCUCCACCAGAUAUUAGCAAGGCUGAAGUCACCAUGGGAGACCCCCACCAGCAAACCCUUGCACGUCUGGACUGGGAGCUGGAACAGCGGAAAAGGCUGGCAGAGAAGUACCGGGAGUGCCUGUCCAACAAGGAAAAGAUCCUUAAGGAGAUUGAGGUGAAGAAGGAGUACCUAAGCAGCCUCCAGCCUCGCCUCAAUAGCAUCAUGCAGGCUUCCCUCCCCGUGCAAGAGUACCUGUUCAUGCCGUUCGACCAGGCUCACAAGCAAUAUGAGACAGCUAGACACCUGCCACCUCCCCUCUAUGUCCUCUUUGUUCAAGCCACUGCAUAUGGGCAGGCCUGUGCUCAUAUGAAAUCCUCCCAGCCCCCUAGACAGGAUAAGACCUUGUCUGUGGCAAUUGAAGGCAGUGUGGACGAAGCCAAGGCUCUGUUUAAGCCUCCUGAAGACUCCCAAGAUGAUGAGAGCGACUCGGAUGCUGAGGAGGAACAGACCACGAAACGCCGGCGACCCACACUGGGAGUUCAGUUGGAUGACAAACGCAAGGAGAUGCUGAAGAGGCACCCGCUGUCUGUCAUGCUGGACCUGAAGUGCAAAGAUGACAGCGUGCUUCACCUGACUUUCUACUACCUCAUGAACCUCAACAUCAUGACGGUAAAAGCCAAAGUGACGACUGCCACGGAGCUGAUCACCCCCAUCAGUGCAGGUGACUUGCUGUCUCCUGACUCAGUCCUGAGCUGUUUGUAUCCAGGGGACCACGGAAAGAAAACUCCAAAUCCAGCCAAUCAGUAUCAGUUUGAUAAAGUUGGCAUCCUGACUUUGAGAGACUACGUACUUGACCUAGGUCACCCCUAUUUGUGGGUACAAAAGCUGGGUGGCCUCCACUUCCCCAAAGAACAGCCCCAGCACACGGUGAUUGCUGACCACUCGCUGAGCGCCAGCCACAUGGAGACCACCAUGAAACUGCUGAAGACCAGGGUGCAGUCCCGCCUGGCCCUUCAUAAACAGUUUGCAUCCCUGGAACAUGGCAUUGUACCAGUUACCAGUGAUUGCCAGUGCCUCUUCCCUGCAAAGGUUGUCUCCCGCCUGGUGAAGUGGGUGACAAUUGCCCAUGAGGAUUACAUGGAGCUGCAUUUCACCAAGGACAUUGUGGAGGCGGGACUGGCUGAGGACACCAAUCUCUACUACAUGGCACUUGUGGAAAGGGGCACAGCCAAACUCCAGGCUGCUGUGGUGCUGAACCCUGGAUACUCCUCCAUCCCACCCAUUUUCCAGCUCUGUCUGAACUGGAAAGGGGAGAAAACCAAUAGCAACGAUGACAACAUUCGGGCCAUGGAGAGUGAGGUCAACGUGUGCUACAAGGAGCUGUGCGGCCCCCGGCCCAGCCAUCAGCUCUUGACCAACCAGCUGCAGCGCCUGUGUGUGCUGCUGGAUGUCUACCUGGAGACUGACAGCCAUGACGACAGCGUGGAGGGGCCCAAGGAGUUUCCCCAGGAGAAGAUGUGUCUGAGGCUUUUCAGGGGUCCCAGCAGGAUGAAGCCAUUUAAAUAUAACCAUCCUCAAGGAUUCUUCAGCCAUCGCUGACCUCCCACUCAGCCUGUUGUCUCCCCCUAUGCCCGAAGUGCUGUGCCUCUAUUUUCUGCUUUGGCCCACAUGUGGCUCUUGAUAUUCUCCAAAGACAGCUUCUAGAGUUGGCUUGUGGUUCAUUCCUCCAUCUUGAAAGUGCAUCACUCCAGUCUCUGCUUCUAUCAUCCCAUCACUUCCUCCUCCAACUCUGACACCUGCUCCCUCUAGUGAGGAGCCUUGUGAUGACAAUGGACCCAUCCGGAUAAACCAGGCACUGUGGACAUUUAUCAUUGUUACUGCCCAGCAUCCAUUCCUUUUUCUUCUGAUAACAGUACCUCUAAUUUCCUUUGGGAACCACACCUUCCAAACUCUCAAUUUCAGUUUGUGGGGCCUGACAUAUUUCCCCAGCUCCAGGCAUGGGCAAGUGACCAUGCUUAGCUCAUCAGUGUCUUGUGCAUGGCCAGAGAGGAGUACGUGACCUCACCAGCCCAGUGAGAACCAACCCCUGGACUUUUCCUGAAACAUUGAACAAGAAUUCUCUUCUCCCCCUGAGUUGACUCAAGUAGUGGCAUGUAAGCCUGAAGCUGGAGACCACAGGGAGAGGUCCUGCCUGAGAAUGAAGCCUACACAAAAGAAAAUAGCCAAGAGGUGGAGAAAGGAAUGGCAGCAUCUUGAGGAACAUCAUUUGAGAAUUCCACUGGAUCUAGCUUUAUCUGAAGCAAGUCAACCUUCUUGAACUCCUUGGUUGUAUAAGCUGAUAUAGUUACCAUCAUAAUAUUAAUCAGUAGCAAUAGUAUUUUGCUUAAACUAGUUUGAUUCUGUUUUGACUACCUACAGCAGAAAUAAUGCUGAUGAAUAUGGGAACCUCCAGUGUGUCCCCUCAGGAGCUGCUGAUCAGAAUUCUCUGGAACAUUGCUGUGGAGUUAUCAGUGCUGCCCCCCUAAAAAAGUUCCCCCUCUUCUCCCUCUAGCACUUAGUAAGACUGCUCUGCCUGUCUCCUCUGGUGUUAGAUAUAACUGUGUGAAUUGCUUUGGCCAGUGCAAUGUUACCAGAAGAGACCUGUAUCACUCCUAGAUAGGACUUUUAAGAAUCUGUGCAUGGUUUGUCACAUUCGCUCUCCCCUGCCUCAGUGAACUUGGAAACCUGGAUCUAGAUGGAUCACCUAUUAGCUUGGUUCUUGAGUGACCACUAUGAACAGACACCCCUGCUGACCCACACUGGAUGUGUAGUGUGAGUGAGAAAGAUGUUUUCUUUGGGCUAAGCCACUGAGAUGUUUAUUAUCAUAGAACCCAACCUAGUGUUUCUGAAACAAUUCCCCUCGGGAAAAAAUGAAGGAUGUUUUUCAUCAACCCAGUUAUGUUUGCUGAGCCAACAGCUAGUCAGCAGGAAGGGCACAUCCCAAAGCAGUCAGCUUGUUUUCAUUUAUCGUCUGUAUCCCCCAGGCCCUUGACAUCUGACAAGCAAUUUCUUUUGUAUCCUCCCAGAGGGAGAAUUAUUUUGUUUGGCAGAUGGUUAAAGUUAGUCCUAGUUGGUAUCUGGCCAGCUAAUCCUGCCUACGGCACUGGGAGCAUGUCCACUUAGGGCAAAGAGGAGGCAUGGCCGGGUCAGAUCCUUCUGCCCUGCCUGUGCCACUUGGGGUUACCAUGAGAAUGAUAUCACCGAGGAAGGCUGGGGCUUUUGGUGUUCCAGAUACCUACAGCAUCUGGUUUGGGGUGUCCAUGUAAUAGGAGGCAGAAUGGCAAAGAAAGGAAGAGUCUGGGCUCUGGUCAGACAGGUUCAAAUUUAAAUCCAGCCUCCACAUCUUCCUGGCUCUGGGACUUUGGGCAAAGUCACCUCUCUGAGCCUCAGUUUUCUCAGCUGAGAAAUGCAAGUUUAGUAGUGCUCAUUUCACUGGGCUGUUGUUAGACUGUGGAUAUAAAAUGUGUAGCCUAGCACCCAGUCCUUGGAAGGUGGUGAUCAUGAUGGUACCAAAGCUGAUGACCUGGAUUCUAAUCUUGUCUCCUGUGGACAUUGGCUGAGUCAAUGAUUUGUAAGAGCCCUUGUAUUUCUAAUGCCUAUCAUGUCUUGCCUAUGAUUUCAAAACUGAGAAAGUAUAAAUUUUCUAAAUAAGGGUCACUGAAGACAUUUUUAAAAAAAUCAGACUCUUUAUGGACAACUGGGUGGCUCAGUCGUUGGGCGCCUGCCUUC